UACAGAGGGUGCAAGCGUUGUUCGGAAUUAUUGGGCGUAAAGCGCGUGUAGGCGGCUCAGCCAGUCAGGUGUGAAAGCCCUCGGCUUAACCGAGGAAGUGCGCCUGAAACUACUGAGCUUGAGUACCGGAGAGGGCGGUGGAAUUCCCGGUGUAGAGGUGAAAUUCGUAGAUAUCGGGAGGAACACCAAUGGCGAAAGCAGGUAACUGGACUAUUACUGACACUCAACUGCGAAAGCUAGGGGAGCAAACAGG
rnacentral:rRNA from 1 species